UACGUAUGGGGCAAGCGUUGUCCGGAAUUAUUGGGCGUAAAGGGUACGUAGGCGGUUUAAUAAGUCCUAAUUAAAAGGCUAUGGCUCAACCAUAGUAUGGUUAGGAAACUGUUGAACUUGAGUAGAUGAGGGGAAAGUGGAAUUCCAUGUGUAGCGGUGAAAUGCGUAGAUAUAUGGAGGAACACCAAUGGCGAAGGCAACUUUCUGGAAUCAAACUGACGCUGAGGUACGAAGGCGUGGGGAGCAAACAGG
rnacentral:rRNA from 2 species